rnacentral:rRNA from 1 species
CAAUAGCGUAUAUUAAAGUUGUUGCAGUUAAAAAGCUCGUAGUUGGAUUUCUGGUUGAAGCGACCGGUCGGGCGUUGAUUCGUCUGCGCUGGAGUCGGUUUUGGCCAUCCUCUAGGAAAGUGCGUCUGGUAUUAAGUUAUCGGGCGUAUGAUCCUGGUCUUUUACUGUGAAAAAAUUAGAGUGUUUAAAGCAGGCCUUCGCCUUGAAUACAUUAGCAUGGAAUAAUAAGAUAGGACUUUGGUCUAUUUUGUUGGUUUGCAGACCGAAGUAAUGAUUAAUAGGGAUAGUUGGGGGUAUUUAUAUUCCGAUGUCAGAGGUGAAAUUCUUAGAUUUUCGGAAGAUAAACUUAUGCGAAAGCAUUUACCAAGGAUGUUUUCAUUAA